GUGCAGCAGUCGCGAAAACUUCACAAUGGGAGCAAUCCCGAUGAGGGAAUUCCAAGUGCCAACACACUGUGUUGGCUGUUCUCCUGUCUAAAAAGCAGGAGAAGUAAGGGCCGGGUAAGACGGGUGCCAGCCGCCGCGGUAAUACCCGCGGCCCGAGUGGUGGUCGAUAUUAUUGAGCCUAAAACGUCCGUAGCCGGUCUCGUAAAUCCCUGGGUAAAUCGGCCAGCUUAACUGUCCGAAUUCCGGGGAGACUGCGGGACUUGGGACCGGGAGAGGUCAGAGGUACUUCCGGGGUAGGGGUAAAAUCCUGUAAUCCUGGAAGGACCACCGGUGGCGAAGGCGUCUGACUAGAACGGAUCCGACGGUGAGGGACGAAGCCCUGGGGCGCAAACGGGAUUAGAUACCCCGGUAGUCC
rnacentral:rRNA from 1 species